UACGUAGGGGGCAAGCGUUGUCCGGAUUUAUUGGGCGUAAAGAGCGUGUAGGCGGCCUUACAGGUCAGCUGUGAAAACUCGAGGCUCAACCUCGAGACGUCGGUUGAAACCGUAAGGCUAGAGUCCGGAAGAGGAGAGUGGAAUUCCCGGUGUAGCGGUGAAAUGCGCAGAUAUCGGGAAGAACACCCGUGGCGAAGGCGGCUCGCUGGGCCAUUCCUGACGCUGAGACG
rnacentral:rRNA from 1 species